UACGGAGGAUGCAAGCGUUAUCCGGAAUGAUUGGGCGUAAAGCGUCCGCAGGUGGCAAUGUAAGUCUGCUGUCAAAGCGUCUGGCUCAACCAGAUAAAGGCAGUGGAAACUACAUAGCUAGAGUAAGGUAGGGGUAGAGGGAAUUCCUGGUGUAGCGGUGAAAUGCGUAGAGAUCAGGAAGAACACCGGUGGCGAAAGCGCUCUGCUGGACCGUAACUGACACUGAGGGACGAAAGCUAGGGGAGCGAAUGGG
rnacentral:rRNA from 1 species